AUUGAACGCUGGCGGCAUGCCUUACACAUGCAAGUCGAACGGCAGCACGGGAGCAAUCCUGGUGGCGAGUGGCGGACGGGUGAGUAAUAUAUCGGAACGUGCCCAGUCGUGGGGGAUAACGUAGCGAAAGCUACGCUAAUACCGCAUACGAUCUACGGAUGAAAGCGGGGGAUCGCAAGACCUCGCGCGAUUGGAGCGGCCGAUAUCAGAUUAGCUAGUUGGUGAGGUAAAGGCUCACCAAGGCGACGAUCUGUAGCUGGUCUGAGAGGACGACCAGCCACACUGGAACUGAGACACGGUCCAGACUCCUACGGGAGGCAGCAGUGGGGAAUUUUGGACAAUGGGCGCAAGCCUGAUCCAGCAAUGCCGCGUGCAGGAUGAAGGCCUUCGGAUUGUAAACUGCUUUUGUACGGAACGAAACGGUGAGCUCUAAUACAGUUUGCUAAUGACGGUACCGUAAGAAUAAGCACCGGCUAACUACGUGCCAGCCGCCGCAGUAA
rnacentral:rRNA from 1 species